rnacentral:rRNA from 1 species
UACGAAGGGUGCUAGCGUUGUUCGGAAUGACUGGGCGUAAAGGGUGCGUAGGCGGCCGAAUGCGUCUGAUGUGAAAUCCCUGGGCUUAACCUAGGAACUGCAUUGGAUACGGUUUGGCUAGAGACCGAUAGAGGAAGAUGGAAUUGUGCGUGUAGAGGUGAAAUUCGUAGAUAUGCACAAGAACACCGGUGGCGAAGGCGAUCUUCUGGAGCGGUACUGACGCUAAGGCACGAAAGCGUGGGGAGCAAACAGG